AACAUACAGUCCUCAGCAGCUUUAGCAUGGGCAACAAAUUAAGUCUCUGUAAAAGGCCCAAAGGACAGGGUUUGGUGAGAUUCUGGAGAGCUGGAAACAUGGAGGUUGACAGGAAUGUAAAGAAGAACUCAUUUACAUGCCAGGAGGGUGGAACACCCCAAUUCCAUGAGGAUAACUGCUCCUGUACUCCAGACCUCACCCCAUGUGUCUCUUCAUCUGGCUGGUUAUUUGUCCUUUAAGAUCUCCUUACUCAACCAGUAAAUGUGUCUUUACAUUGUUUUAGUCUUGAACUAGAAGAUGAAAGCAUCAAAUAAAGAAAUAUACUGUGGGUAUAUGGAUUACAAAAAAAGAUCUGUGGAAGUUUGAAGUUGAGAAUGAUGACCUAGAGUAUCUGGUGGAAGAAAUUUCUAAGCAGCAAAGUGUUCAAGAUGUGGCCUGGAUGCUUCUAACAACCUAUGCUCAGAUGUAGGCACAAAGGAAUGACUUACAUUUGGAACUUACAUUUAAACAGGAAGCAGAGCCUAAAAGUUCAGAAAAUUUGCAGGCUGAUCAUGUGGCAAAUAAAUAAAAACCUUUUACAAGAGAGAAACUCAAGCAGGCUGUUGAGCAACCAUUUGCUAGAGAUAUCUGCAUAACUGAAAAGGAGCCAAAUGCUAAUAGCCAAGACAAUGGGAAAAAGGUUUCAGUGACAUUUCAGAGAACUUCCUGGCAGCCCUUCUUACCACAGGCCCUGAAGCCUAGGAGGACUGAAUGGUUUUGUAGGCCAGGCCCAGUACCUUGCUAGCCUGCACAGCCUUGAGACACGGCUCCCCAAAUUCUGGUCACUCUGGCCCCAGCCUCAGCUCAAAGGGGCACUGGUAAAACUUGGGCCAUCACUUCAGAGGACACGAGCUAUAAUCAUUGGCAGAUUCCACAUGGUGUUAAGCAUGUGGGUGCACAGAGUGCAAGAGUUAAGAAGGCUUGGUAGCCUCUGCCUAGACUUCAGAGGAUGUAUAGAAAAGGCUGGUGUUCAGGCAGAAGGCUGCUGCAGGAGUGGAGCCCUCACAGAGAACUUCUAGUAGAGCAGUGGGGAGGGGAAAUGUGGGUUUGGAAGCCCACAGAGUCCCCAGUGGGGUAUUGCCUAAUGAAGCUGUGAGAAGGGGGCCACCAUCAUCCAGAACCAAGAAUGGUAGAUCCAUUGGCAGCUUGCACUCUAUGCCUGGAAAAGCUGCAGGCACUCAGCUGUAGCACUUGAGAGGAGCCAUGGGGCUACAUCCUGCAAAUUCACAGGGGAAGAGCUGCCCAAAGCCUUGGGAGCCCACCCCUUGCAUUAACGUGCCAUGGAUGUGAGGCAUGGAGUCAAAAGAGAUUAUUUCAGAGCUUUAAGAUUUAAUGACUGUCCUGCUAGUUUUCGGACCUGUGUGAGCUCUAGUCCCUUUCUUUGCCUGACUUCUUUCUCUUGUAAUGGGAAUGUUUACCCAAUGCUGGCACCCUCAUUGUAUCUUGGAAGUAAAUGACUUGUUUUGAUUUUACAGGCUCACAGGUGGAAGGAACUCAUUUUCAGAUGGGACUUUGGACUUGGGACUUUUGAUUGAGUUGUUGCAGAAAUGAGUUAAGAUUUUGGGGAAUUGCUGAGAAGGCAUGAUUGUAUUUUGCCAUGUGAAAAGAAUAGGUAAUUUGGGGGAAGACAAGGGUAGAAUGAUAUAGUUUAGGUAUUUGUCCACACUGAAAUUUCAUGUUGAAUUGUAAUCCCCAAUGUUGGAAGUGUGGCCUGGUGGGAGGUGUUUAGGUCAUGGGGGUUGAUCCCUCAUGUCUUGGUGCUGUCCUCUCAAUAAUGAAUGAGUUCUCUCAAGAUUUGGUUGUUGUAAAGUGUGGUACCUCCACCCCCAACUCUUUCUCUUGCUCCUACAUUCACCAUGUCAAGUACCUGUUCCCACUUUGCCUUCCACCAUGAUUGUGAAGUUCCUGAGGCCUCUCGGAAAGCAGAUGCCAGCACUAUGCUUCCUGUACAGCCUGCAAAACUGUGAGCCAAUUAAACCUCUUUUCUUAUAAAGUACCCAGUCUCAGGUAUUUCUUUAUAGCAAUGCAAGAACAGCCUAAUACAAUCAGUAAAUAUGUCAGAUUCUACAAUGAGGCUACUAUAAUGUGAAGAUAUUUUUCUUAAUCAUUUACAUUUACAAAUAGACUAAAAUUCUUGUUUUAUGUUAUUGUCUUAGUUCAUUUUGUGCUGCUAUAACGGAAUACUACAGACUGGUAAUUAAUAAACAACAGAAGUUUAUUUGGCUCAUGUCUCUGGAGAUUGGGAAGUCUAAGACUGAGGGGCCUCAUCUAGUGAAGGUCUUGCUAUGUCAUAACAUAACAUGGUGGAAGUCAUCACAUGGUGAAAGCAUGUGUAAAAGAGGAAGACAGGAGAACUCAUACUCUUAUCAGGAUCCCACUCCCACAAUAUCUAGCCCUCUCCCAGGAUAACAGCACUGAUUAUCUUAGAAGGGUCUCAACUCUCAGGACUGUUGCAUUGGGGAUUACAUUUCAAACACGUGGAUCUUGGGAGACACAUUUAAACCACAACAGUGAUGUUUUGAAUAAUAAAUAUACAUCUACAAAUGUGUUUCUUCCACCUGGCAAUGCCUUCUUCUGAUAGUUUUAUUCUGCAAAUUUCAAUUAUUCAAAUAAAAUUUCCUCAUUGGCCCUCUUUAACACUUUUUCCUCUGAAAUCUUAUAUUACUUGUUGCUUUACAAAUACUCUUUAAAAAUUAUUCCACACUGGUAUCUAAAUUCUUCCUUUUUUCCCAGUCUUAUCUUCCCAAUUGGCUUUUAAUUUCCAUCAGGAAAGGAUCCAUGUGUUUUGACUUCUUGGUACUGCUCACAGUAAUACGUAAAUAAUUAAGAUUUAAUAUAAUUGGGUUUAAUUUAAUUUCAUGUAGAUUCCAAUUGAUUUUUCCAAUUAGAUGUGUGAGAUUUUUAUUCAUUAAAAUACGCAAUUAUACUAGCAUCCAUUUUUACUUGUCCAAAGAAUGAGCUAAGAUUUAAGUUAUAUUUUGCGAUCUUGAGAUACAUUUCAUAUGCUCUUCGUUGAAUCACUUUUCUAUUCAUCUUCAAAUUCCAGCUAUAAAAUAUGAUAUGCAAUUGUCUUAGCUCAGAUUGAUCACAAAUCCUUGUUCUACAAGAUACCAUGUAUUCAUAUAUUCAUAAAAAUAUCAACAGAAAUAAUAUAUUAAUAAAUAUUUAAGUAUGUAAUUUCAGAAAGAGAUGGUAAUGUAUCAGGACAGAUUUUAGUUAGGAGACACAAUAUGCUUAUCCGAGCACAAAGUUGGUUUUUAUCAAUUGAUGUUAGUUUUUGAUUAUAUACUAUAUGUAAGUUCUCUAUUUAUAAUUAUAAUUUUCUCAUUAAUAAUAAUAAUAAAUCAUACCUAUAUUGUACCUUGAAAUUAUCAAAGCCCCUUUCAUUUCCACCUCAUUUUCUCUCUUUCUCUUUUUCUCUUUCUUUUUCCCUGUUCUUUUAGUCUCUGUCUCUCCUUCAGAAAAAAUAUCAGUUACUUAGCAGGACAUAUAUUAUUGUUUCCAUGUUACAGGUUGGAAA
rnacentral:lncRNA from 1 species